rnacentral:rRNA from 1 species
UACGGAGGAUGCGAGCGUUAUCCGGAUUUAUUGGGUUUAAAGGGUGCGUAGGCGGACUUUUAAGCGUGAGGUGAAAUGCCCGGGCUCAACCUGGGACGUGCCUCGCGAACUGGAGGUCCGGAAUGCCCCUGCCGUGGGAGGAAUGUGUGGUGUAGCGGUGAAAUGCAUAGAGAUCACACAGAACACCGAUUGCGAAGGCAUCUCACGAAGGGGUGAUUGACGCUGAGGCACGAAAGCGUGGGGAUCAAAC